rnacentral:lncRNA from 1 species
CUCGGGGCGAGGAGCGAGCAGGCGGCGGCGGACGAGGAAGCGAGGCGCGGAGAGAUUGAGUAAAACCCAGAGCCAGCAUUUGAACGCAGGCCCCGGGCCAGGAGUCGUUUCCGGCCCGGUUCUCGUCCGGCCUCGCGAAGGGCUGGCCCGACGGCUUGGCUCCUCGGGAAGAAAUUAGGAAGCGACCUUUCCGGGUUUCCGCAGGUUGAAGCUUGCAGAUGAUGCGGCAGGUUCUCUGCCCGGCCAGGCAGCGUAGAAGCUCUUCGCUCUGUCCCUGAGAGGGGAGCGGUCCUGUCGGGAGGCCCAGGGAGACCCAGAUGCAGAGCUGCAGUCUCCACGCAGCAGUCGGCGAGAAGCUGGGCUCUGGCAGCCUGUGGGAGUGAGCUCCGCGCUGCGUGCUCUGCAGUCGAAGUUUGGCCAGAGCCGUGCGGUUUGGACAGAGGAACACAAGUUGGUUCAGUCACCCCACCCUCCUCCUGCUCCUCCCUCCACUGGAUCUCAGCCCCUGAGGCCCGCAGCCUUCCAGGAGCAGUGCACUCAGUCUCUUCUCUCAGGGUGCAGCGCACCUUCCCCGCUCCUUACCCCUCCUGCUCCACUAGACGAAGAGCUGGAAGGUGAUGCACUUCGGCUUUGCUCUCCAGACAGAAGGACCCUGGAUGGGGCAGAAGAGGGAAGUAUCACAGGCUCUUCUGGACUCCUGGUGGCUCCAGGUGUCAGAGAAGCCUGUGGCACUUUGGACUCGUCUUUGUUCCUGACAGAAGCACCUGGACCAAAUGGGUCAGGCCUACCACAGUGUGUGCUAUCCAGCUUCCUCACAAAGUGAUUAAGCACACCUGGCCAGUUGUCCAUUACUAGGAAGUCCACCUCCAUCCACGACUAGGUGUCUUCUCAAAGAUCUCCAGUGCAAGUGCAAGGAGAAAUGGGAAAUGGACGCUUACUUGGAAACAUACCAGACAUUAUACCUGGCUGCUGUCUCCACAGCCUCCUCUGCAGUAGAUCUCCUAGCCCACUCCUCCUAUCCAUCUGAAACUCUUUUACCAGGGACCCUCACUUUCCUCCCCAUAAAGUUAAGACAUGGCAGUUGAAAAUGGCAUCAAGACAGAUGACAAGCAGGAAGCACCGCUGCCCAGGUUGUCUGGGUCUCUGCUUUCCACUGCUUAAUUGGCACCACCUUGUUUCUGUGAUCCUGGGGCUUCUUCCAGGCCAGCAGGCAGGAGCAGCAGGCAGGCUGUGGUCUUCCUCUUCACCACCUUCCAGAUCUGCCAUCCAUUGCAGGCAGGGGAUAAUAAGGUGGUACUGAAGCUGGAGCAGAUGCUUCAGGGCUGGCCAGGCAGGCCGUGGGGUGGGGGUGGGGGUUCCUGCAGAUAAUAAAUGGAAGACAGGAAGCCUCUGCCACCCUGCAGUCCUAGGGGCUUCACCCCAGGGAGGAAGAGGUCAAUACAGGAAGCAAAUGGCAGGCUCACUGGCCUUCUUCGGAGAGGAGGCCACCAGGAAAACCAGAGUCAGCGAAUGCAAGCAACAGUCUCUGACCCACAGUGCUCAGAAAGAGGCAGCAGCCCCGAGGUGAGGAGAGCACUAGGGAAUGGUGGGGACUGGUAAGCCAGAGAACCCAUGUUGUUUCCACCAGCUUCUGCUGAGUGUUACCCCUUGCAGAUGAGCCUAGGCUCCCCAUGGUUCUGGAAUGCAAAUCUCAGUAUUUAUGUGAUGUCUCUGAAUACGUGCUGGCAACUAAGUCAGAACUUUAACAGAAAUAUGUCAGCCAGCUGUGGUGGCACUCACUGCAAUCCCAGCCCUCAGGAGGCUGAGGCAGGGAGAUUAUGAAUUCAAGGGCAGCUUGACUUACAUAGAGAAUCAAGCUCAAACUGCAUUGCUUUGUGAGACCCUGUCUCAAAAAAAUAUGUACAUAAUAGGAGGACAAAUGAAACACAGUCAACUCAGUGGAGUCCAGGGGCUGGGUUUGUGGUGUCUGCUUUAGAAAUCAACUGUUACAGGGCUGCCUAAUGACAGCAAUAAUAAAAGCUGACAUCUGUGCUGGGAGCAAUGGUACACACCUGUAAUGCCAGCUUCCUGGAAGGCUCAGGCAGAAGGAUCAUAAGUUUAAGGCUGCUUUGGGCAAGUUAGUGAGACCUUGUCUCAAAAUAAAUGAUGAAGGACCAGCAAGUGGAUGGUUAAGCCUCGGACUCAAGGAGCAGAGCUCCCACCCACGCCCUGCCCCCCAGUGACCAGCUUAGCACUGCAGCCCCCACUCUACCUCUGGCCUCCUGGCUGUGCCAGUACCUGGUUCCACACUAUAGAGGCACAGGGGGUCAUAAAGGCCAUUGUCCUGAGCUCCAGAAGACAGUGCAGAAGUGAACAGAAAGAGGGCCUCUCUCAGGCUCCUUGAUGGAAAUUGAAGCCCACUGGAAAAGUGAAAAGAAUCUGCAAUAAAGGCACACCAGACCACUGUAUGUGGUAAGUUGGAGGGAUCAUCACCUCCAAUCGGAACCUGGACUAUCUUCAGGGGAAGGGCAGCUGGAACCUGCAGUAGAACCUUGCAGAGUUCAACCCUGCAGGAGGACAGGGAGCUCAACUUGGGACUUGCAGCCAGAAAUCUGCCUGAAUCUCACAGCUCUGCUACUAGCUUGCUGAGACUCAUUGACUUAUAUCUGCACACUGCUGCCCACAUUCUCUGUUGUGACUGCAGAGACAUAUACCCUGAAGGAGGCCCUUCAUUUUUAUGUUUUGUUAUUUUAAAAUUUUUCUUUGCUCUUUUAAUUUUUUUCUACUCUUUUCAAAUUUUUCUUUUUUCUUUUCUCUUUUCCUCCCCCCCCCCCCAUUCUCAUGAUGUCCCACAUUGUUCUUCAUCUCCCUUUUUGUUCCUAUUCUGGCCCUAAUUUGUAUUUCUUUAUUUUUCUCCUCUUUUUCCUUUUCUUGAUUGUCAUUAAAAAACAGUAAAUACAGUUUCUAGCCUCCCUGUUGCUAUUAGGUUGUUCUGUUCUCAUCUUUGUUCUUUCUGUCUUUUUCUCUUGUUUUCAAGUUUCUUAAGAGUUUGCGUGAUCUUGCUGUGUCCUCUGGCUUCACUGCUAAACUUUCCUUAUCCUUCUACCUAUUCCUCCCUCCCCAACUCCUUCUAACUCCCCAUCCCAAAUGGUAAAGUUGCUAUAUGGAAGAGUUUAUUCACUAUAAACAUAUGUUGGGCUGGUCCUCGAUUUUGAUUUAAUUCAAACAGUUAAAAGUGAUAGAUUAAUAACUACCACAAAUUGUCAUUUUCUAAGCUGUGCUUGAUGCUAUGGUGUUGCUGACUGUAUCACUUGGGCUAAGGUGUUGUGAUUGAUCUAAUCAGUUGUCCUUCCUGG